CCCUUAGAUGUUCUGGGCUGCACGCGCGCUACACUGAUGCACUCAACGAGUUUACACCCUUGCCUGGAAAGGUUGGGUAAUCUUUUGAAAGUGCAUCGUGAUAGGGAUAGACUAUUGCAAUUAUUGGUCUUCAACGAGGAAUUCCUAGUAGACGUAGUUCAUCAGACUGCAUCGAUUACGUCCCUGCCCUUUGUACACACCGCCCGUCGCUCCUACCGAUUGAAUGCUCAGGUGAGCCAUUCGGACUUUCAUCAUGCUGGUUUCCAGUUUUGAUGAAGGAAAGUCUUGCGAACCUUAUCAUUUAGAGGAAGGAGAAGUCGUAACA
rnacentral:rRNA from 1 species